UUUCCAUAGAGGAGGCUUUGCAUCAUCAGCUGAUCCUCCAGUGAACUCACAAGGUUUAUAGUGGUGUGAGUUCAACACUGCAGGACUCACAUGUGUCAGUCAACACAGCAGGAAGCACAAGCAGCAUGACUCUCAUCACCAUCCUCAUCUGGACGCUGCUCUGCUGCUGCUUUACAGGAUGCAGUGGUCAGGUGACGGUGACUCAGCCUCCAGUGGAGACGUUCACUGCAGGAUCCACUGUGACGCUCACCUGUAAAACCAACACAGAUGUUUUUAGGUGGAAUAAUGCUGACUGUAUGUCCUGGUACCAACAGAAACCUGGUCAGAGCCCAAAGCUCCUGAUCUAUUAUGUAGAAAAGCUGCAUUCAGGGACACCAGAUCGGUUUAGUGGCAGUGGAAGUGGCUCUGACUUCACUUUGACCAUCAGAGGAGUUCAGGCUGAAGAUGCUGCAGUUUAUUACUGUCAGAGUGCUCAUAGUGGUGGAGUGUUCACGUUUGGUGGAGGAACCAAACUCAUCGAGUUCUCUGGUCCCGUGGUCAGACCCUCCGUCUCUCUGCUUCCUCCGUCCUCUGAGCAGCUCUCUGGGGGCUCGGCCACGCUGGCCUGUCUGCUGAGCGGCUACUCUCCUCAGGGAGCCGUGGUGAGCUGGGAGGUGGACGGUAGCGAGGUGACAGAGGGCGUCCAGAGCAGCUCAGAGGAGGAGAAGAACGGACGCUUCAGCAGCAGCAGCACCCUGACCCUGAGCCAGGAGCUGUGGAACAAGAGAACCCUGUACACCUGCAAGGUCCUCCAUCACGACCACAGUCAGGUCCAGGUCUUCCACAAGAGCCAGUGUCAGGACUAGAGGAGCUGUGUGUGGGAGAAGAGGAACAGACCUGCUGCUCUGAGCAACAUGAGUUUAAUGGAGUGAAAGGAAAGCUUCAUGUGAGAAACGUGUGGAGCUCCAUGAAUGUGUGUCUGCUUAAUGAGUGACCUGAUGAUUCUUGACUUUGACAAUAAAGCUUCUACUGAUAUUAA